GGAAACCAAACUUCAAGCUAUCACCAACUUUCCUUCAUGAUCUGUCUGUAUUUUUACUUUUCUUUCUUCUUACUUCUCUUUAUUUUGCUUUUUCAGUUAUGAUACUCUCUUUUUAAUGCUCAAUCAACUCAUUCAUUCACCUUAUUAUGCGUUGUAAGUUUGGUAACACUUAAAAUUAUGUCUAAAGUAUAUGUACAUUUCACCUCCAUAAAUGUAAUUUGGUAAAAGGUAAGAGCCUUUGUCUCCAUACAUGGUAUUUGAUCGCAGCUCUCUCAGCUCUAGUAAAUUACAUUCAAUUAAUGUAAUUGUCAUAGUUAUAACAAUACUUAUACCUUACUUUGAUGUACACCACAUAAAAUCAAAUACUAAUUAAAACUUAUUUAAUUUUAUGUAAUUUUAAGAAAAGUGAUUCCAGGUAUAUAUAGAAAAAGUUAGAAAAUACGACACUUUAGUUGCUUGUCAUGCAACUACCUAGGUGCAAUGGAGUGUUAAAUAUUCUCGGUUCCUGAUCAGAGGUAUAUUAAGUUUAAACUUCUGUUAUAACUAAUUAACCACUUUUAAUAGGAAAUACUUUACCUUAUUAACCACUUUUAAUAAGAAAUACUUUACCUUGAUAUAUAUAUAUAUAUAUAUAUAUAUAUAUAUAUGUGACUUCUCACACAUAUUUUGAUAUAUCCGAGAGCCAACACACAUANNNNNNNNNNNNNNNNNNNNNNNNNNNNNNNNNNNNNNNNNNNNNNNNNNNNNNNNNNNNNNNNNNNNNNNNNNNNNNNNNNNNNNNNNNNNNNNNNNNNNNNNNNNNNNNNNNNNNNNNNNNNNNNNNNNNNNNNNNNNNNNNNNNNNNNNNNNNNNNNNNNNNNNNNNNNNNNNNNNNNNNNNNNNNNNNNNNNNNNNNNNNNNNNNNNNNNNNNNNNNNNNNNNNNNNNNNNNNNNNNNNNNNNNNNNNNNNNNNNNNNNNNNNNNNNNNNNNNNNNNNNNNNNNNNNNNNNNNNNNNNNNNNNNNNNNNNNNNNNNNNNNNNNNNNNNNNNNNNNNNNNNNNNNNNNNNNNNNNNNNNNNNNNNNNNNNNNNNNNNNNNNNNNNNNNNNNNNNNNNNNNNNNNNNNNNNNNNNNNNNNNNNNNNNNNNNNNNNNNNNNNNNNNNNNNNNNNNNNNNNNNNNNNNNNNNNNNNNNNNNNNNNNNNNNNNNNNNNNNNNNNNNNNNNNNNNNNNNNNNNNNNNNNNNNNNNNNNNNNNNNNNNNNNNNNNNNNNNNNNNNNNNNNNNNNNNNNNNNNNNNNNNNNNNNNNNNNNNNNNNNNNNNNNNNNNNNNNNNNNNNNNNNNNNNNNNNNNNNNNNNNNNNNNNNNNNNNNNNNNNNNNNNNNNNNNNNNNNNNNNNNNNNNNNNNNNNNNNNNNNNNNNNNNNNNNNNNNNNNNNNNNNNNNNNNNNNNNNNNNNNNNNNNNNNNNNNNNNNNNNNNNNNNNNNNNNNNNNNNNNNNNNNNNNNNNNNNNNNNNNNNNNNNNNNNNNNNNNNNNNNNNNNNNNNNNNNNNNNNNNNNNNNNNNNNNNNNNNNNNNNNNNNNNNNNNNNNNNNNNNNNNNNNNNNNNNNNNNNNNNNNNNNNNNNNNNNNNNNNNNNNNNNNNNNNNNNNNNNNNNNNNNNNNNNNNNNNNNNNNNNNNNNNNNNNNNNNNNNNNNNNNNNNNNNNNNNNNNNNNNNNNNNNNNNNNNNNNNNNNNNNNNNNNNNNNNNNNNNNNNNNNNNNNNNNNNNNNNNNNNNNNNNNNNNNNNNNNNNNNNNNNNNNNNNNNNNNNNNNNNNNNNNNNNNNNNNNNNNNNNNNNNNNNNNNNNNNNNNNNNNNNNNNNNNNNNNNNNNNNNNNNNNNNNNNNNNNNNNNNNNNNNNNNNNNNNNNNNNNNNNNNNNNNNNNNNNNNNNNNNNNNNNNNNNNNNNNNNNNNNNNNNNNNNNNNNNNNNNNNNNNNNNNNNNNNNNNNNNNNNNNNNNNNNNNNNNNNNNNNNNNNNNNNNNNNNNNNNNNNNNNNNNNNNNNNNNNNNNNNNNNNNNNNNNNNNNNNNNNNNNNNNNNNNNNNNNNNNNNNNNNNNNNNNNNNNNNNNNNNNNNNNNNNNNNNNNNNNNNNNNNNNNNNNNNNNNNNNNNNNNNNNNNNNNNNNNNNNNNNNNNNNNNNNNNNNNNNNNNNNNNNNNNNNNNNNNNNNNNNNNNNNNNNNNNNNNNNNNNNNNNNNNNNNNNNNNNNNNNNNNNNNNNNNNNNNNNNNNNNNNNNNNNNNNNNNNNNNNNNNNNNNNNNNNNNNNNNNNNNNNNNNNNNNNNNNNNNNNNNNNNNNNNNNNNNNNNNNNNNNNNNNNNNNNNNNNNNNNNNNNNNNNNNNNNNNNNNNNNNNNNNNNNNNNNNNNNNNNNNNNNNNNNNNNNNNNNNNNNNNNNNNNNNNNNNNNNNNNNNNNNNNNNNNNNNNNNNNNNNNNNNNNNNNNNNNNNNNNNNNNNNNNNNNNNNNNNNNNNNNNNNNNNNNNNNNNNNNNNNNNNNNNNNNNNNNNNNNNNNNNNNNNNNNNNNNNNNNNNNNNNNNNNNNNNNNNNNNNNNNNNNNNNNNNNNNNNNNNNNNNNNNNNNNNNNNNNNNNNNNNNNNNNNNNNNNNNNNNNNNCCUUGAUAUAUAUAUAUAUAUAUAUAUAUAUAUAUAUAUGAGACUUCUAACACAUAUUCUGAUCUAGCCGAGAUCCAACACAAAUAUCAUAUACCUCGAGGAGAAAAAAAAUUGCUUUUUAUGGUAAGCUAGACCAAGUGUAGUUAAAGGGAGUGCAGUGCAAAUGAGGACUCUACUAUUUAGUUUAAAAGAAACUUUUUUUUCUUAGUAGGACAUUAGGCAAAAUUGGUUGGCCAAUAUACUUUGAAAAAAAUAUUCAUUCAUUAAUUUCAUCCACUAGUUUAACACUUGGUGGUUUUUUGACUCUUCAAACAAUUUUUAUACCAUUCACUACACAACACAAUAUAUAUAUAACUAACAGAAACACUUUAGCAAUCUCACCACUCUUCUCUAUUCCUUCAUCACUCUUCUCUCUUUUUCAUAUUCACUUGCUUCACUUCCACUUACUUUUCUUAACCUUUUUUUCUCUUAUGGAAUUCUCUGAGGACUCAAUCGAUCGGACUUUGGUGUUCAAAGGAAAGCGCAGUAAGCGGCCACGGCAGUUCAUGGCGGUAGCGAUGGUCACUUCCACGUCAUCAACCGCCUGCGACGGUGGCGCUGGUGGUGGUGCAAGUGGCAGCAACGGAGGCAGUGGUGACGUCGGACGUGGAGGUCAUGAGAUUUACUCUUCAUCACCAACUACUUCAACUACUCAGAUAUCAACUAGCAGUACAUCAGAGGAAGAUGAAGAUAUGGCUAAUUGUUUAAUACUAUUAGCGCAAAGUGGCCGAUGUGAGAAACUACAAGUUGAAACUACUGAACGUAAGAUGGUGAAAAUCAGUAGCCGAAAGUUUGCAGAAAUGGCCACAACAUCUACUGGAUCAAAAGCUGGGUUCUAUGUCUACGAGUGCAAAACUUGUAACAGAACUUUCCCGUCUUUUCAAGCACUUGGUGGGCAUAGAACAAGUCACAAAAAAAUCAAAACCGUAACUGAAGAUAAAAAAUCUACUGCUGAUUCAAAUUCUCAAUUACAGCAAGGGCAUCAUCAUCAACAACAACUACUGCAUCAACACGAAGAAAAGUCCAGUCGGAUUAUCACGCCAUCAGUUAAUUAUUCCACAGGUAAUUCGAAUUCAGUUGCCAAUUUGAUCAACAUCAAGCCAAAAAUCCACGAGUGUUCAAUUUGCGGGGCGGAAUUCUCAUCAGGUCAAGCUUUAGGUGGACACAUGAGAAGACAUAGACCACCAACAAUUACAACAACAGCAACAAACACUAAAAAUAUUACUGUUGAUGAAAUCAGCAACACUUCAGAUAAUUCAUCACAUGAUGAAAAUUCAAAGGAGAAUAAGCCAAAAAUAUUCUUAUCGCUUGAUCUGAAUCUUCCAGCGUCACCGGAAGAUCAUGAUCAUCAACGAGAUGCAGCUAAUUUUGAAUUUUCAGCUAACCAGCAAAAUCUCAUGUUUUCUGCUGCUGCUUUGGUGGAUUGUCAUUACUAGUUAAACAGAAAACAAAUCAGUUUUACUUACUUUUUUUUUGUUGACACUUUAAUUUGGAAUUAUUAUAAUUUGUAGAAUCAUUGUUAUUGCUAUUUAUAUUUAUUACUAUUCUUCAUAAUUUUGAUUGUAGAUUGUGUAUAUAUCCUUUUCGGGAGAACAAGUUGUUUUAAUCAAUGUUGAUUAUCUACCUUUUUUCUUUGAAGUUUUUUCACUACUUUCAAGUGGUUAGUGUUCACGUUUGCUUUUCAUUCACGAAAAGGGUGAAGUGAUGGGGCAUCUUUAAAUAUACAGAGACGGAUAUAGUAGGAAAAAAAUUUUCAUAUUUUUUUUUCUUUUGUAAUUUUUCUCGAGUGGAGAGCGAUGUGUAACACAUUGACACUCCACAAAACCAAAACCCAAAAAAAAGAUGGUACUUGAGAGGAGGGAUUCGAUGACAUAUUGUAUUUUCAAAAAUUAGUAUUAGUUAAAUUUAGUGAUUUUUACAAGUAUAUUUGUAGAAAAUAAUGGGUUCAGUUGAAUCCGUUGUGAAUUGUGACACUGUCGCUUUCUGAGUAUGGCUAACCAAAAGUUUGUGGAUCAGGUUCUUUUUCUGUGUGAUGUUGUGAUUACUACUAGCAGAAAACAGCUAAAAUAUAGUGGAACUCAUCUGUUGUGACUUUGCUAACCAAAAGUUUGUGGAUCAGGUUCUCUUUUUGUGUGAUGUUGUGAUUACUAAUAGCAGAAAACACCUAUAAUAAAGUGGAGCUCCUUAUGUUGUUUCUUUUCAAUAACAAUUAAAAUUAAAUAAAAAUGGAUAAGGGAAGCCGGGUGGGUAAACGCCAAUUCCAUGUGAAUGCCACCUGUAUACAUUUUCUUGUCUUUGUUUCUUUCAUCCAGCUAAGUACCUACUUAAGUCACUUAUAUUUGUUUCUUCUUCUAGUACUAUGAUAUGAUCUGUCCCUAAUCUUUUGCAUUAAAAUUUGGUGUCAAAAUAGUGAUCGAUCACAGAUGGAGUUUCGUUUUUUAAAUCUUUUUAUUUUGUGAUAACCAUAAUUUCAUCGCUGUCCUAUCACUAAUUAGGGACAUAAUGGCAUUCAGUGUAUUGUGGAAUAGAUGUAGCAGCUCUCAGCCAACCCAUCACACCUAAUUUUUAAUGUAAUCGUCCCUUACUUUUCAAGCUUCUUAACAACUAAAAAUAACUUUACUUGUGCAGUGAGCGUUGUCAUACCAGAAAUAAUAGACAUUGCAAAUCACACGUCACGAGCAGUUGGGAAUAAGGUCUAAAGUUUACACCGCAUCUAAUAUAAUAAUUGUGCUUUGUAAAACUUGGGCUCUAUAUAUCAGUGAAAAUUCUCUACAGUCCAUGGUUUAGGUAAGCGCACAAGAGUUGUUUUUUUUCUCUAAUUUUAAGAUUGUGAAUUCGAGUCGCCAAGCAAGCAAACACUAUAAUUAUCAUGAGUGUUUUUCCAUUACGUUAGAUUAAAGUUCAAACACAAAAACACAAGUUAUGAAACACAAGGCUAGCUGAUCAUCUGACUGCAAAUCUACUUAGACUACAUAAAAAGCAAUCUUGUUAUAACCUUGAUUAUUCACUCUCAAAAUCAUACAUAGCCAUGUAGCUUAUAGAUUUAUAUUUUUAAGAUCUUUUUUACUAAUAUUAGGGGCAGCCCCAAAAGAGGGGAAUAGGAAUUGACGGCAUAAGUUGCCUAAAUAAAUAUUUUACUAUUUAAUGAUGUUUGUUAUGUGCACGUUUCGAUGAUUAUUGGUAAUUAAGCUAUGCAUGUUGAUACAUUGGUACCUUGUUUGGGAUAUUAUGUCCAAAUACAAUGUGUAUCUAUGUGUGGAAGAGAGUUGGCUAUUAAAGAGGAAAGAUUGGUGCACAUGUAGUGGGGGACUAAGUACUUGAUCAGUUUAUCUUUCUUUUUUGUUCCGUGUUUGAUACUCCAAUUGAAGCCUGAUACUAUAAAGCUUGUUUCACGUUGAAAAAUUUUAUAUUAAAAUGAAACGCUUAAGAUAAAUGAUUCUAUACCUGAAAAAUUUGAUCUCGAUCUCAAUCUCUCAUUAAAAAUGGGGGUUCUUAUUAUUCCAACGUAACCUCUGGUUGGUGUACUUGUUCAGUAUAACUCAUAAAUUAUCUUGUAUUAAUUUCAACUAUUAUAAAAUGGAUGUUUUUUUUUAAGUUACGUUUUCUAUAGUGACAUUUCAAAAGAGUUGUAUAGAAGUCAAAUUAUAUCCAACUAUUUAGAAUCAAUGGUAAUUUGAAAGAAGUUAAGUUAGCUAAACCUAUACUAAUUGUACGUAUAAAAAUGUGAACGUUGGAGCUAGAUAGAUUAUGUUAAUUUUGUGAAAAUCCUCUACAUCAUCGGUAAAUAUAAGUAAAAGGAGAUAUAAAGGACCCUGUGUCCAAUAUAAAUUACUUUUUGUGUCUCAAUUUAUGUGACACGAAUUAUAUUUAGAAAGUCAGUAAAAUUUUUACAUGUUCUUUUAAUUUAUAAUAUUUUUUAUAUAAUUUUCAAAUAAAUAUAAGUUACUCUGUCUCAAUUUAUGACAUUGAUACAAUUUCAGUCAACUAAAUUUUUAUAUAUCUUUAAAUAUUUUAAAUUGUUAAUUAUUGUAUUUAUAGUACUUUUUAUAUUAUUUUUUCAAAUAAUAUAUUACACUUCUUUUGUUUCAAUUUAUGUGAAACUAAUAAAACUUUGAGAAUAAAUCAAAUUUUUGUGUCUUUUAAAUAUUUUAAGUUAUUAAUAUUAUGAUUUUUAUUACUUUUUAUGUGAUUUUUAAAUACAUAAAAUAAAUAUAUGUUAUCUAACAGUAUGAAAUAACCAUAAAAAGGGAGGAGUCAAUCAAAUUGGCCCCUUUGUCUUUUAGAAGUAAGGAGAAUUCAUCAUUGAAAAGCAUUACUAAUUUUAAUUUAGAAAAAAAAAAAUUGAAUUGGAUUAGUAUUUCAAAUUAUUAUACGUGGAAUAGCAAAGAAGUAAUAUAGCAAAGUCAAUGAUCAAAUUAUCUGUUACGCAUAAUUCACAGUUUGGAAAUUCCGUCGAGUUGUCAACGUGUUAAUUAUACCUGUCCACAGUUGAAGGUUUCACUAGCUAGUGACGGCGUAGGAUGAUGCACGUUGCUAUUAAAAGAAAUACAUAUGUACCACUAUUAUACGUAUUGAGUUAUACCAAUUUAUAAUGAUUGAAUGACAAAAUAAUUAAAAAUAUGUAGUACAUUUUCUGGUUAAAUUUAUGUGAUUUUAUUUUGUUUGUGAUUCAAAUAAUAUUUAGAUCCACAUUUACAAUGUGAUUUCAUCAUAUUUGACAUGAGAAUAAUCAACAAUUUAAGUUUAUUUUUAUGAUUUUGAAUAUUAAAUUUUAAUUUAAAAUAAGUAUCUUUAAAAAUUAUUUUCCAAAAUUAAAAAGUGCCACAAAAUUUACAAGCGAGGGAAUAGUAAUUAUUUUUGACCUUUUGCUAAAAGUUCGCACCUUUUAAUUUUCUUGAUAAUUCGAACCCGUGUGGGAGGCGAAAGAUGCUUGUCAUGAGGGAAAAGUAAUUAACCAUUGUUAAGUGAUAAUUUUUAUAUUUGUUGAUGUGAAUUGUGGCAAACAUGUUGUAUGGAACGAAGUGUUGGUCAGUUAAGAAUUCUUACAUUCAAAAGUUAAUGGUGGUGGAGAUGAGGAUGUUGCGAUGGAUGUGUGGACUUAUCAGGAGUGAUAAGGUUAGAAAUGAGAUUAUUCGGAAAGAAGGUGACAUUCGGUUCGAUAGAGGCAAGAUGAGAAAAGUGAAGUUGCAAUGGUUCAUGCAUGUGAUGAGGAGAGGCACAGAUGCUCCAGUCCAAGGGUGUGAGAGACUGACUAUGGAUGAUUUCAGGCAGGGCAGAGGUAGACCGAAGAAAUAUUGAAGGGAGAUGAUCAUUAGACAUGAUAUGGAACAGUUACAUCUUACGGAUGACAUGACCUUGAUAGGAAAGUGUGGAGGACGCGAAUAGGGGUAGAGGUUUAAUGGGUAAGAGUUUGUCAGUAACAGUAAGUAAGAGUACUUUUGUUUGUAUCUACAUUUGUAGUUGCUUGUUCGUGGUGUUUUGGUGAUGUCUUCAAUUUUGAAUAGAUAAUUUAUAGUACUACCUUGUGGGUGCCUUGUUUUCAUUAUUAUCUACUAGUAGGGUGUUAUCUCAUUUUUGUUGUGUGUUUUUAUGUUUUCUAUUUUUUUUAGUUUGUUUGUUAUUUGUCCUGAGCCGAGAAUCUAUCGGAAACAACCUCUCUAUAUAUUUUAUUUGAGGUAAUAGUAUAAACUGCAUACUCUUUAUUCUUUUUAAAUUCCGGUUUGUGAGAAUAUAGCAGGUAUGUUUGUUGUUGUUGAUGACUCGAUGUGAAUUGUGAUACACAGUGAGUGCAAAUAAUGUCUUUAGCUUAUAAUAAUGGUGAUGAUCAAAGCAUAGGCAAGUGACAGUGGCUGUAGAAUUUGUGGUUAAAUUGAGUUCAUACUUUAUUGGAAGCAUCGUGUGGGCAGCUCACCAGAAUAUAUUAUCCUUCCAGAUGGCAUGCUUCUCAACUCAACAGAUCUGUUCUCUAUUUCUUCUAAAAAUCCAUUGAAAAAUUAUGUCCAAGAGUUAAAAGUAAUUUCCAUUUUUUCUUCUCUCUUUUUUCUAUUGGCUUACGUUGUUUUCUAUACUAGUAAAAGAUGGUAGUUCAAGAACCUAACUAAACUUGAGGGUGCCAAAGGGAGAAUGAAAUGGAGACACAUUUUGCCACUUGACUUAUGUUUAGGGCACGAAGUACAGAUUCAAUUGUUACUAUAUAUAUUUAAAAUUUAAUUAUUAUCAUUUGAAUUCAUCAUUCUGAAAUUUAAAAGUUACAUAGUUAAAAUCCAUACUUAAAUGAUAAUUUUUUCUCAAUUUAUUUAUCUUAUUUUUCUUAUUCGUGUGUUUCGAAAAAUAUGUCUUUUUUCCUUUUUGGCAAUUCCUUAAUUCUAAGUAAACAUUUGAUAGUAAGAAUUUUUUACUUUUUUCUAAAAAAUUAUUUUAUUUUAGUGAAAAAAAUUAAAAUAGUAGUGUUUGAUCAUAAUAAUUAUUUUUGAAAAAGUAAAUUUUCACUUCUAUUUCUCUCACAAAAUUUUAAAACACAACUUCAAUUUAUAUCCAUGGUCAAACACAACACCAGCUCCAGCUCCAACUCCAACUUUAAAAAAUUGUUACUUUCAUGACUAAACGAGAGGCCUAAUUUUUCAUUCGAUAUAUUUAAGUUUAUAAACUUAAUAAAUAUUUUGUCACAUUUCACAUAUCUUAAUUUCAAAUCAUUUUUAAAAAAAAAAAAAAUACUUUUUAAAUAAUAUAUCAAGUCAUUAUCGAAUACACAAAUUAAAAUUGAAGCAGCAGUAUGCACCAAUAAAAAUAGUGAGGGCAGGAAAUGCAGGUUAUAAUUAUGAUGUAUCGAGUGUGAAAGUAUGCCAUUUGCCUGCCAUUAUACCAGCAAUACAUUACCACAUCCUCCUAUUAAAAUAGACUUCAUCUUCUAACGCCUAAAUAAACUUCAUGUUCAUUUGUGCAAUAGCUCCUUUAUAACGAUUCAACUGAACUCUCUCACUAUUUUUCUAAAAAAAAAAAUUAAUAGGUAUUUAGUGAAUCUUUUAACACAUACAAAUGAUCUAAGCUAGAGGCGAGGCUAGAGGGAUGGAAGGGGGUUCGUUUGAAUCUCUUUGGAAACAAAAAACACACAUUUUAUAUAUUAGAAUAAUUAACUUUUAUUUGUUACGUAAGUUAAGUUCUUGAUAAAAAAUUUCUUUCACCGCUAACACGCAAAUUACAUGUAGAUAUACCUCUGGCUUUUACCUUGUAAUGGCGCAGUAAUUUUGACUGAUACUCGACUUUGCUAAUAUGAAACUAUGACAUCAGUGUCCAUGCCUUAAAGACAAUUUCAUAAUUUUAUUUUUCAGUUACUGAAUUUUUAUCACCUAAACUCCUCAAUAAUUUAAAAAAGCUAGUUGACUGAUCAACUGGGAAUUCAACUUCAAGAACUGCAGAGUAGUGCAGACAAUUUGUUAAUGGUCUAAGACGUGUAAUUAAGUACUACUACUUAAUUGGAAAUAAUUGAUUGGUGAACCGUUAAGUAUAGUAACUACUUGUCGACUUUUAAUUUUUGUUUCAUAUAACCACCGUUUCAUGUUCUAUGGUUGUUGAUAAUAUAAUGCCCACAUUCAAAUAAAAACAAGCAUACCUACUAUACUUUGAACUAAUCUCACUUAUGGUUUCAACCGUAUAUUGAUAUGAAUGAACUAACACACGUUUGUAAGACAAGUGCAAAUGGUCCAAGUCAAAUCAUCAUAUAUAUGUAUCAAGGAUUAGUUAGUGCUAAUUAUAUUUGAUAUUUAACUGCUUUUUUAACCCAACCAACAACCACAACAAACAUAGUAACUAUAGUUCGACCAAGGCUUUACCCCUACUUCGUGAAGAUAGAGAGGUUGUUUUUAAAGGAUCUUCGGCUCAUGAGCAACAAAUCACAGCAAUUAAUGAAUAAGGGAAUAAGAUGGUAAAAUGACGUUUUUUAACGAAUCCUAAAAGAAAAAAAUGAAUUAAACAGGAUUUAACUAUAAAGUUUCGGACUAAUGAGACUUCGAUCAAGUAAUUGAGCACCUUCAACAUCAACCGGGAGGCUUGAGAAUUUGAGUCAUGCCAAAGAGUAAGUGAAAACAAAUUUUGACCCUCUUAUUGGUGGGGUGGGAAAAAAUAGAAAAACAAAAAGUUUGGCAACCCAAUUGGCAAUCAUAUCAACGAAGGACUAGGUGGCCUUACAAAUCAAGUUGAUUUUUUUAAGGAUAGUUCCUUUUCCAGAUUACGAUUAAUCUUUCAUCUUUGCAUAGUGAUCAUUUAAAGGAAAACAGCAAAAAAAUAAGUUUAUUAGACAAAUUAUACUCGUUAACAUAGAGUAUUACGUAAAUAAAAAGAAUUGAGAAACUUAAAAAGGAAAUGAAUGGGGAUAUUAGAAGUAAGAAGCUUAAAAUAAAGGAAAAAUUAUCUAAAAGAACAACUUAUGUUUCAAAACUACUAAAAAUUCCUUCACUUUUAAAAUAUUACAUAUAUCCCAACAUUUACUACUUUUACUAAAAGUUGAGAUACAAGUUUAAGAUCUCAUAUUCAUACGCUUUAUUUUACCAAAACAAGACCCCUUUUUCUUUCUCAUUGUACGUCAUAAUUUCAGCUACAGUUUCAAUCCAUUCUUUCCCUCUAAUUCAAACUUUUGAAUUAAAGUAAAAUUUCAUAUUCACUGUCUUCUUGUCAAAAAGGAGAUAAAAAGACCUAGCUCUCUUACUCUCUCUUCUCCCAGGCGAUCUCAAUGGAAGUUUAGCCCUCAAUGACUGCGGCUGCUUUACCCCAAAUGAUCUAGAUACACAAACUUAUGCGACACUAUUCAAAUCAACUCCUUGCACAUUUGGGAAGGAAUUUCAAUUGUAAUCUGUUGAUAUAAUCAAUAGUGAACCUAUUAUUCUAUUUGAACCAUCUGAUAUUAUAUUCAAGGUUAUGUUAAAGAGGAAAAUUUUCAAUAUGCUCUUGCUGCAAAGUUUUCCUGUGGGAGGCCAUCGGCAAUAACCCUAAGGGGUAAGACGAUAACCCUUGAAGUUGAAUUCAGCGAUACCAUCAACAACAUCAAGGCCAAGAUUUAAGACGACGAAGGUAUUCCACCGGACCAUCAGCGACUGAUCGUUGCUUGUACAAAAAAGAUUCUUUAUAAAAAAUAACCCACUUUUUCCUCUUUGUACGCCACAAUUUGUGGAGCGGUUUCUAUCCAACUUCUUCAUUCAAUUCAAAACUUGUAGCAAGGUAAUUUUCCUCCCUAAAAUCCGAUUCAAUUUCUUCUAAUUAUUUUUACGUUUUUUUUUUCAAAAAAAAUAUUUUGCACUUAAGUUUACAAAGUAAAAUUUUGGUGAUUUGGUUGAGCAAUUUCUUCGAUUAAUUGUUUUUUAGGCUUCAUUGUUUGAAUUGCCAUCAUGAAUAGAGAUUUGGGACCUUCCUUUAAUAUUCGGAUUUCUCAAUUAGAAAGUAUCAAAGAAUCUCAUGAAGUUGUUAACUUCGUUUCCACAAGUUUUGAUUAUGAAUUUGUUGACUUUGAUGAAAAUAGAUUAAAGCAUAGAAACGAUCCCCAAAUUAUGAAGAAAUUGUGGAAAAAGCAUUCUAAGGACAAGAAAAAAGAAAGUGGUUCUAACAAAAAGGGAUCCAACAGUCCUGAAAAUAAAGCUCCUGCCAAGAGAAAAAGAAUUGUCGAAGCAAUUUCCAGAGAUGAACUUCCCAAGGUAAUUGCAUGUUCAAAUCUAUGAAUUUUAGGCCAAGAUACAUAUUUUGGGUUGCAUGAUACGUUUAGAAUUUCAUUGUGUAUUUGUUUUUUUGUUGCUAAGUUAUUUGUAUCUUGUGUAUUUUAUUUUUUAUUGAAAUUAACAUAACAAAAUACAAGUUCAUAGGUACAUAGAUACAUGUUAAGUGGACUUAUAUAUGUGAGUGAUCAUUAAUGCUUUGAUUUGUAUCUAGUUUUGUUCAAUUUUACUUAAAGUCUAAAUAUAUUAGAUACAUGUUUUUAUUUCUAAGAUACAUGUUAUAUUAACUUGUAUUUGUGAGUUACUGUUAAUGUUUUGAUAUGUUUCUUGUGUUGUCUAAAUGGUAUUGAAAGUAGAAUUACACAAGAUACUUUUUUUCACGUUGAGAUACAUGUUGUAGAUAUUAAGCAUACAUUUGUAUAAUCUUGUAUCUAAUGUUUUAUGUUCUUAGUGCUUUUAUAUAUAUUGUAUUGUCUUAGAGUAAACUUGUUGCCUCUCAAAUAAUUUUUUUAUUUAUUUUUUUAUUUUUAGGGAUUGAAUUACGUUACAAGUAUGUUAUAACAAGUUAAAUGCAUUGAUAAUGUAAAAAUAUUUUUACAUUAUUUGUUUAUAAAAGUUAAUUUAAUAUUAAAUCCUUAGAUGGGGAGCUCUUGUGCAUCCUAAAUUCUGCACAUGAUCAGACAAUAGCUAGACUAGCCCCCGUUUUGUAUUAGAUACAUAAUAACAAAACAUGUGUCUUUCUGUAUUAAUAUGUAUCUCGUUCAUUAUCUGAAGCAAUUGUUUAUUACCUGCAUUAAUCACAUUAGAUACAUAAAAUAUUUAAUUUGUACCUCUUUCAGUUUUAAUGAUUACGGUAGGCUGAUGUAACAUAUAUUUCAUUUGUUUGCAAUUUGAAUAGCAUCUGGAUGUCAUCAUGUACUACUUGAGGAAGAAGUACAAGAACAAGAAUUUUUCAAGCAAGAGAUACACUAUCACAGAUUGCUUUUUCAAGGUGUACAUCGAUAAGGCAUAUGUGAAUUACGAUGAUGCUGACGCUGGCAACGAGCUUGCCACACAAGAUGCAUCUACAAAGACUGAUGAGGUUGCUGAUAUGGAGAUGACAUUGAUUAACACCAUCAAGGGAUUCAGUCCGCGCGCAGGUCAGCCUUGGCAUUUGGUUAAUGAGGUCUUUGUCUCAAUUAACUGUGAUGGUGCCUUUCACUGGAUAUUGGCACGCAUUGCAUUAAAGGAUCGAUGCAUUGGUGUGUACGAUUCAAUGGUCUCUUCACAAAAACAUUGUUGAUGAUAUAAACUUUGAUGAUGUUAGUGAUGUUUAGACAAGUAUACAUUAAGUUUUUUUAAUGAAUAAUUACUUCUAUUUGCAUUAACAUUCUAACGCAAUGCUAAAUAACAUAAAGAUAUAUUUAUGUUAUCGUUAUGAUAUUUUUUUCACGCAAUAAAUAGACAUUGUAUUGACUACAUGUUUUACUAUAUUUUAUAAUUUUAUGUAUCUAAAAUAAAGAAAGAUAUAUUCCAAUAUAGGUAUUAACCAUCACAACAUUGUCGUAUUAUCUAUAAUAAUUUUUUGUUAUAGAUAAUUCAUGUUGUCUCUUACAUACAUACCAUAUUAUAUCAUAACUUAAUAGAACUAAGUCUUAAAAAUAUUAACCUAUUACAUUUUACAUGUGAGACAAAUUAUUAGAUCUUGUAUCUAUUACUUUAUAUGAGAUACAUCUUCUCAAAUUGUAUGUAUCUAUUAUAAGAAAAUUAUUUUACUAUAUAAUCAUAGUAACCAACAAAUUAUUACAUUUCUAUGUAUCUACAACCCUUUUUAUCAAUCGAAAAAGAUGUUUGACUAUAACCUGCAUAACAAAUUCUAGCAGAACUUAUAUUACUAAAUCUUAAUAAUAUUGACAAAUUAUAUUUUACAAACGAUGCAUGUUUGUUAAAAUUUAAUGGAGAUACAUACUAUAAAAAUGUGUCUAUUUUCUAUCGUUCACUAUGGCAGAACUACUAAUAGAAUGUAUAAUAACAUUGUCAGUUCAAUAUAUCUAAAUUUCUACUUUAUGUGUUACCGAAAAAUACACCAUCAAAAUAUAUAUAUAACUAAAUAACAAAUUAACAAAGAAUGCUAUUUAUUUCGAUAAAUGUAUUUUUCUAAAUUUCAUAAAAAAACAAAAAUCUCAUUAACUAAAAUGUCGAACAAAAUAGAUAAAAAAAUCCAGCAACAUUCCGAGGAACUAUUCAACAUUAUUCAUUAGUAAACUACAUUUGUCACUCCUUCUUUGGAAAGAAUUUGCAAGUGAGCCUGUUGUGACCUUUAUAACCACAUCUCUCGCAACAAUUACUGUUCGAUGUCAUUGUUUCACUUGAUUUCUUGUGCAUGUUUUUCUUUGGCCUUCUAGGUUGUCGUUUGUAUUUAGGUGGUAAUACAACUUACCAGGAUAAUGCUUUAAAUGUCCAAACAUAAUCCUCUAAACAGCAUCGUAAGAUAUAACUGAAUCAAUGAAAAUAAAACGUCAACUUUAUAACCUUCAGUUACUUUUAAACUGUAUAAUAAGACAUCAAUAUAUUCACCAAAAUUCAUAAUUAGACAUCAAUAUAUUAACCUAGAUAAAAGAUGAUCAAAACGUAUCUUUUAUAUAAAGAUGUAUAUCGACCAAAUUAACAUAACGUCAUGACUAAAACACAAGAAAUAUAAUUAAACAUAACUUCAUAAACGGAGAUACAAGACGGAGCAAAAUGUAUCAUUUUCAUAACAAAAUGUAUCUCGGCGUGAAACUUGUACAACAUGUAUCUAGGACAUUUCUAUUAUAUCUUUGACCUUCCAGGUUGACGUUUGUAUUUAGGUGGUAACGCAACUUACCGAGAUGAUGCUUUAAAUAUCCAAACAUAAUUCUCUGAACGGCAUCUUAAGACAUAACUGAAUCAAUGAAAACAAAAAUUCAACUUUAUAACCUUCAGUUACUUUCAAACUGUAUAAUAAGACAUCAAUAUAUUCACUGAGAUACAUAAUUAGACAUCAAUAUAUUAACCUAGAUACAAGAUGAUCAAAACGUAUCUUUUAUCAUAAAAAUGUAUAUCGACCAAAUUAACAUAACGUCAUGACUAAAACACAACAAGAAACAUAAUUAACCAAAACUUCAUAAACUAAGAUACAAGAUUAGCAAAAUGUAUCAUUUUCAUAACAAAAUGUAUCUAAGCGUUAAUAACAUAAAAACACAAAAACAAUCUGUAAAAUAAUCAUCAACCAAACAUUUAAUACAAAUUUAAAUUAAUGUACAACAAAUUAACAACACGCUACAAAAAAAAAAUAAUUAACAUAACUUUUCUUGACCAAUCUUUUGGCAUAAUAAUUGAAAGAAUUCUCAAUUGCAAAUCGCGUCAUAAUCGAAAUGAGAGUACUCUUGUCUAUUUUUUUCCUUGUUUCGUCAAUUUCAAGUCUCCCGCAAUUAUAGAAAUCAGUUUUUCGUAAGUAACAUGUUCACUGACCAGAAUUUCAUCACUCUUAUAACCAACAUACUUGAUUUCGUCAACCCAAACACCAAAAUGAUGUAAAAGCACCGAAAUAUUCAUAUCAAACAACCGAAAAUAACAAAUGAAAAGUUUAUGAAGAUUUAUCAAUUUCAAAAAUAUAUUAAAAGAGAGUUUAUGUUUUAACAAAGUGGAGUAAUAAACGGAUUCCCAUUAAUUGUGGGAUUUGAUUUUGUUUUUUUACCUUAAUUAGUUAGCUUUAAUGUUGAUUUGAUGGAAAGUUAUCUGUUGCAUUCCUUAAAAAGUGUUGACUUAGUUAAUUAAUAUAUGUAUCAGCAGUAUGUAUCUAAUGUGAUUAACUUGUAUCAUCAGAGGUCAAAUUUUGGGAUUUUAGGAGAUUUUGAAAAAAGUUGGAUUUUUAGUAAUUAGUAGUAAACAUGUCGUUAUAUAUGUAAUUUUUACUAAAAUAAAAGCUUUAUGGCAUUCGUUUGAAGUUAGGAAAAAUUAAGUUUGCAAACUAAGUUUUUAAUUUUACUUUUUGCCAAAAAUGUUUGCUUGACAUGUUUUCGUUUGAUCGACGUUUAAUUUUAGAGUUAUUGAAAUUACGAUAACAGAACUGAUAUAAUUCAUUUGCCUAUAAACAAAUAAUUAAGAUAGAUAUUGGAAAACAUGAAAUUUCAUAACAAUUAGUUGAUCAAGACGGACGUAUAUGCAAGUAUGAUUGAUAAUGACAGGAUAUAAGAUAAUAAUCAAAGUUGUGAUGAAAUAAUAAAUAUUCUUACAAGUGAUUUGAGAGUGUAUCCAAAUGUGAGACUUUCAGAUGCAACUUUAAAUUUAAGCGAAUUUCAAUACAGUUAUCGACACCAACUAAGAAGAAUUAUAAAAUAAAAUAAAAUAAAAACAUAGAACUUUAUCUGAUUUUGGGGUCCAUUAGUGGAGUCUCAAUCUGAUGUGUACAUUUUUUUUUAACGUUAUUUUUUAUGUCAUCCUCCCUAAAUGACAAGGGGAAAUUGAAAGGGCGAGGGAGAAACUUUAUGGAUAAGAAUUCCUUAUCAAGCUUAUUGAGACCAUGAAUUUAUCUAAGAAAUAAAAAACUUUGCACUUAAUAGUUUCUAUGGGACAUCAUAUAUGCUGGCAUGGCAUGUUAUAUAUAUCUUUUUUAAGUAUACAUCAAAGUGAGCACCUACUUAUAUGCAAACAUAUCUUCUAAAAUAACAUAGAAUGUGUGCUACUACGGGAAUUAAGAUCCUCCUUGAUAAUUAUUAAAUCAACUAUCUCAUACUUAUCCCAAUCCUUGCUGAAAUCAGAACAGGACUAUAAGCGAGAAUAAAUAAGAAUAUUAUCAGGUGUUCAAGAGAGUUGUUGCUAAAUGUUUGGACUUCCAUCAUUUUAUUACUUCAUCCAUUUCUAAAGUUUAUUACAUGUUGAAAUUCAAGUAAAUGAUUUGAACUUCAAUUAUAUAUAAUAGAUUCGAAGUUCGACUAAAUUAUUGAAGUGGGUAAAAAUUUUAAAAUUUAAAUUCUAUCAAUAAUGUCUGAACUUCAAAUAUAUAAAACUUCAGGUACAUUAGUUGAAAUUAAACUUUAUAUUUUUGAUAUCGUUUGUUUGAAGUUAUUUCCAAGUAGAUAGACAUUUGAAAAUAUAUAUAUAUAUAUAUAUAAAAGUUAAAUGACGACGUGAAAAUCGUGUGUAUACUUUGCUCAAAGAUACCGCUUGGGCUAAAACAUGUCAACGCAUUGAAUCUGAGAUUAUUCGGCCUACCCCUCAGCUAGUGACCACAUGAAAGAAAUGACCCGAGUUAGUCAUGAUAUAUUGUCUCUUACAAAAAAAAAAAAAAUGAUCUUCAAAAGAAAUAAUUUUGAUUUUUUGGCCUUGUUUUUUAAUUUUUUCUCAUAAGACAGACGUUCAUGACAUUUCAAAUCAAUAAACUAGCACAAAACAUAUAGACAAAGGUUAAAGCUCAGGUAUGUUGCCCACACGGUAGAUGUUCAUGACAUUUCAAUACAGUAGAAUUAUUCAAUUAACCACAAGUUCUGUGUUAUAGACAAACAUAAGAACUUAUUUAGGACAUAUAGAAAUUUAAGACCACAUACUUUGGGCGACAAAAAUUUAAAAUCGUAUAUUUAGGAGUCAAAAAUUCAAGAUCACACACUUUGAGAACACUAGAUAUAAUUUCCUGCAUGAAGUUGGUUGCCCUAGUCAGUGAGGUUGAAUAUUUGCAAAUUAGCUUUAAACAAUGUAUAUAAAUAAGGAAAAAUUGUGUGGUGUGGAUAAAAAACUUCAAAAUUAUCUGUCAUGAUCAAUAUUUAAAUAAUUACGGUACAUGGCUGCGAUUUUUUAGUUAUUUUUAAUACUAGUCCUUAUUUUAAGUUAUUUUUCCUCACCUGAUUGACUUACUUUUUUCUCUAAUCUCUCUCGCCUAAUUAAAAGCAAAGAUUUCUCUCUCUCCUAAAAAUAGCAUUGUUACUUUUUCUUUAGGUAUUGUUGUAUUUUCUAACUUCUUCUUCAUCAAUUUUGUCUUUAAUUUUGGUACAAUUUCUCCAUUCUUGCAGUGUUGAUUAGGGUUUUAAGUAAUUGUUAUAACUAAAUCAAAUGAAUGAGAACACUUAAUUUAAGGGCAUUUUUUCAUUUAUGUCUUUAUAUCUGCAUAUGAAUGUAUUGGGUGUGUGUUUUUUUAUGUAUAUAUGAAUAUUUUUGUAUACCUAUGUAUAUACAAGUUUGUUCUGUUUUGAUACACAUAUACAUAUUUAUAUACAUUAGUUAUGUGUUGGUUCGUGUAUACAUUAUGAUUGUUAACCGGGCCGGUUCGGUUCAGAGCGGCACCGACCCACAAAAAUUAAUCAGUUUUGGACCAGGUCCGGUAACGAAUUAGUAUUAACGGACCGGUCCGGGCUCAAACAGUAAAUUUUGCUCAAAUGGACCAGAAUCGGUCCACUUAAGAAUUAUCCGGUUUUGAUCGGUCAAAACCGGUCAAUUUUUAAAAAAAUAAAUAAAUUCAUAUUUUCAUAUAUUUUUCAAUAUAUACACACCUAUAUAUAUUUUAAAAACGUUAAACAAUAUAUGUACAACAUAUAAACACUAAAUAUACUACUUUAGAAAACAUAUACACACUUAUAUUUUAAAUAGAUAGUAGUUUAGAUUCUAUAGGAAAUAUAUGCACAUAUAUACGUACAAUACAAUAUAUACUACUUUAAACAAUAUACAUACAACAUAUAUACACUAAAUAUAUAUUACUUUAUAAAACAUAUACACAUGUAUACUUUAAAUAGAAACUAGUUUAGAUUCUCUAGGAAAUAUAUGCACAUAUAUACGUACAAUACAAUAUAUAUACUACUUUAAAUAAUAUACAUACAACAUAUAUACACUAAAUAUACUGCUUUAAAAAAUAUAUACACAUGUAUACUUUAAAUAGAUACUAGUUUAGAUUCUAUAGGAAAUAUAUGCACAUAUAUACGUACAAUACAAUAUAUAUACUACUUUAAAUAAUAUACAUACAACAUAUAUACACUAAAUAUAUACUACUUUAGAAAACAUAUACACAUGUAUACUUUAAAUAGGUACUAGUUUAGAUUCUAUGGGAAAUAUAUGAAUAUAUAUAAUUACAAUAUAUACAUUACACAUAAUACUAAUUUAGAAACAUAUACACAUGUAUACAUUAAAUAUAUACUAUUUUAGUCUAUAGAUAAUAUAACACAUACAUGUAGAAUAUAUAUUACUUUAAAUACCACUUGAAAUAAUAUACAUACAACAUAUAUACACUAUAUAUAUACUACUUUAGAAUUUAUAGAAAAUAUAUACACAUAUAUGUAGAAUAUAUACUACUUUAAAUACCACUUGAAAGUUGAAACAUGUAUACAUUGCAUAUUAUAGUACUUUAGAAAACACAUAUAUACAUACAAGAUUACAAUGUAUGCUACUUAAUAUAAUAAUAAUUGAAGUUUUGAAUAUAUAUUCAUUAUAUAUUUUCAUUAUAUUUGAACUUAAAAGAUAUUUAUUUUUUCAUUAUGUGUAUAUAUGUUUGCUAUGUUUAUUACUUGGUGUAAAGUUUGAUAGUAAUAUAUUAAAAGUAUUUAAUUCAAACUAGAACUUCAAUUUAAAUUAAAAACAUAUACACAUUAACAUAUAUACAUUACAUAUUAUAUUACUUUAGAAACUUAUACACAUUAAAUAUAUAUUGUUUUAAUCUAUAGAAAAUAUACAGACAUAUAUGUAGAAUAUAUACUACUUAAAAUACCACUUGAAACAAUAUACAUACAACAUAUAUAGUUAUAUACACACUAUAUAUAUAUAUUGCUUUAAAUACCACUUGUGUAUAUGUGUGUAUAUAUGUUUGUUAUAUAAACUGCUUUAAAUACCACUUGUGUAUAUGUGUGUGUAUAUAUGUUUGUUAUGUUUAUUACUUAGUGUAAAGUUUGAUAGUAAUAUAUUAAAAGUAUUUAAUUUAAACUGGAAAUUCAAUUUAAAUGAAAAAAUUACAAAGUAAGGAGUGAAUGAAUGUUGUAUUUUAUUGAUUGAAAAAUGAUCCAAAACUUAUAAUUUACAUGAAUGAAAAAUCUACAAAUUUUGCAUCACUUUUUCCAACUCGUUUAUGUUAAUAUUAACGGAAAUUGCCAUAGGAUAGUCAAAAUCAAUGGGGGGGAAUAUCAUGCCUUAGACUUGAUUGUGCUGAGUUCUCCCUUGAAGUCAAAAUUUCUUUAAUAUUCUGGUCGUCUUUCGGCUCCACCUUCAUUCAUUGGUUUCCUCGUUCCACUAUAAUCCAAUCUCUAAGGCAAACUAGAACAUUCAUAGAUUGCUUUUCAAUGAGUGUCAGUUGUCUCCAAGCUGUUGUCGUCUUUGACUAAAAGCGUUCUCCGAUGCAACGAUUGACAUUGGAACAUUCAAUAUAUCUCUAGCUAAUCUUGAAAGCACAGGAUAUUGUCUUUCAUUAUUCUUCCAUCAAUCCAAUGCGUUGAUCAUUGCUUUAUGAUCCUCUAUCGAUUGUCGAACAUAAUACUUAAGCUCUUCCAGAUAAUUUGUGUUGUAUGUCGAAGGAGAAACCCUGUCCCAAAUAUUUAAAUCAUAAAAGUAAUCAGGAAAACCACUAUGUGCCGGCCUUUUAAAAGAUGAUGGCUCCUCAAGAGCUUGAGGAGGGACAGUUGGAGUGAUAUUUGUCGGUACAACUACAUUAAGUAAAUCGGCACAAUGGUUAUAUAAUGCUUUUAUGUAAAUGUUCGCAUCACUUAUAGCCGUAAACAAAUCUGAUUGUUCUUCAGGCUUUAUCUCUAAGAAAUUAUAAAUAAUAGAACUAAAGUGGCACAUAGUAUUAUAUUUCAUAUAUGAAUUUAGUAUAGUACCAACCAAGUAAAUUGAAGGAAGUGGAUAAAAAUACUUUCUAAAUUUAGCAAACAUAGCACCAACAACUUCUUUGUAACCUUCUCUAUUCUUAUAUUUUUUAAGCAAACAAGAAAUGUUGGCUAAAUGAGCUAAAAUAUUACAAACAACAGGAUAAUAAGUACCGAAAAAUUCAACCGUAUCUGUAUAAAAUUUUUCCAAAAAUUUAAAAAGAUCAUCAUCAUUGCAGCCCAAUCAGAAUCAUGUAGCAUACACUCGGGAAAAGAACCACAAAAUUGAUUAAAAGUCAUUGUAAUGGAAACUUUAUAAGCAAGACAAGUUUUUAAAUAAGUAUAAGUAGCAUUCCAUCUAAUAUCACAUUCUUCAGACAUUAAUAUCGGUCUAAGUCCAUUUUGUUGACAUUUAACUUUAAAUUCUCUCACUCUACCUCUUCAAUUAUUUCAUUGAAUAAAGCCAACAGCAAGCCGGACCUUUUCAAUAUAAAACUUACAAAAUUGAAGACCAUCUUUUACAAUUAAAUUAUAUAUAUGACAAGCACUUCCUAAGCAUUUCCUACUGCGGGUGUCUCGCCAAUAUUUUCAUCAUCUUCAUCUAAAUUAACCGCAUGUCCGCAUCUAUUUCAUUUUCUUCUUCUAUACCAUAAUUUUUCUGAGCUUUUGCAUAAUCCAUAUCAUGAGCACCUACACCUAUUUCUUCCUCAAAAGGUUGACUAACAGAUAACGGAGGCACACAGGUAUAUCUAUUACUUGAACUACCUCUAUCGGAAUCGCCACCAAUUCAUUUUUUACGACCACUGCCACUUCCAGAAAAAAAUAUUUUGACACUUUUACCGAGGUUUCUUAUUUUAUCCAAAUUAAAAAAUAAACUAAAAAAUACUCCAAAUACACACAAGACAUAAAAAAAAAAAAUUCAACAAUUAAUACACUAAUUAAAAAUUAAAGGUAAGAGAUGGAACGACAAUACCAAAUUUUGAAAGUAUCCGAAAGUUGAGACUUUACAAAACUUUCACUUGUAUUUGUAAUUGCAAAAUUUAAAAAUAAAAUUGAGCACUUUAAGAGAUAAUUAGAAUAUUUGAGAGAGAAGAUUUGUGUGAAUAAUGAAUUUUGAAUUGGGGGUAUUUAUAGAAAAAAAAUAGCCAAUUGGUCGUUGGGGUGCAAACGGUUAUAAUGUCGUUGGCCCAGCGGUCCAAUUUGGCUUUUGGGGCCCAAACGGCUAAAUGUCAUUUAAGAAAAAAAAAUGUUACCGGGUCGGGUACUCAGUGGGCCUGGUCCGAGUUUGUAUCGGAUCUGGCUUACCGGCAGAGGUGAACCCAGGAUUUGAAGAGUGCGGGUGCAGCUUUAUCAUAACAUAAGCGUUCGAGAAUUUUUCACUGGCGGCUGAGGAAUAGUAUCGUGAAGGCUUAAGCAAUGACAAAAAUAUAAAUAUAUAGGCCAAAUAUGGGUUUUAGGGUAAUAUAUAAACCUUAACUCCUUAUAGAUAGAUUAGUGCAUUUAUAAUUUAAUAUUACCAAACUUUAAUUAAAAAAAAAAAACUAAAAAACGAAAGAAAGAGAUGUAUAACUGUUACCAUCAAAUGGAGAAUUGAAAUUGCUCCUUGUAACCUUCUAAAUUCAAGUUUCCACUUUUCAGGAAGUUUGGCUUUUGGAGAAAUUUGGGAAAUAUCGAAUAGGGCUUGGGGGAAAUACGGAGCUUGGGAAUUAGGAUUGGGGAAUAUCUAUUUUCUAGAUAUAAAUUAAGGGUGGUAUGGGCCAGCUGAGGUGGUUGCCUAGCAAGUGGCAAUUAAAAUGUUGUAAAUGAAAAAAAAGAGGCAUUCAUCAGGAAUCAAACCCGCAACAUUGAGACCCGAAGGAUGCUAGCAUUUGAGUUCCGGACCAAUGCACUCAAACAUAUUUGGUUAUUAAGGGUGCACAAUUAAAUAUAUUAACUCUUUAUUAGGAUAUCUAUACAUAUAUAUACAAUUUUUUAAAAAUAUUACCGGGUGCACGUGCACCCUCGCGUAACCAUGUGGGUCCACCUCUGCUUACCGGGCCAGUCAACGUGGAUGGCCCAGCCUGAGACCGACAACCCUAUAGCCUGUGGGCUCACCGGACCGAGUAAAUGGGCCGGGCUAAACGAGCUGGAACGGGCCACCCUAGCGCGUUUGACAGGUUUAGUAUACAUUAUGCACAUACACAUGUCAUAUGUGUAUGCAUCUUUUAUGUGUUACAAAUUAGAAUGGGCAUCAACGUAUAAAUGAAACUCAAAUUCGUUCACACAUAUAAUCUUCGAAAUUUAGGUUUUAAUGCUCAAUAACAAUGAGGAAUGUUGAAUAGAAUAAAUGAAGUGAAUCACUCUCCUUUUUUUUUUUUUAAUCUCUAAAUGUAACUAAAAUAAUAAUAAAAUGUACUCCCUCCGUCCCAUUUUACUUGUCCCAAAUUGGAAUGGCACAGCUAUUACGAAAAAUAAUAAAUAAUAUCACUAGUUUGCCAUAGUACCCCUAUUAAAUGAUGUUUACAUUUUAAUUUAAAGAAAAAAUAAUUAGUGCAAAGGGUAAAAUAUGGAAAAAAAAAUUAUCUUAUCUUGAUAAGUAAAAAAGGACAAGUAAAUAGGACACCAGAUUAGGAAAUUUAGGACGGGUAAAAUGGGACGGAGGGAGUAUUAAUUAAUAUUUUUAUAUUAGGAUUCUAAAUAAAUUUUGAUCACUAAUUGAAAUAUAUGAAAUGUAAUUAUUAAAAUUUAGAUUAAGAAGUUAGUUAAAAGAAAUCUAAGUUAGCUAUACUUGAAAUUUAAGAAAACCAAAAAAUGAAAAAGAUUUCUUGAAAAAUGACUUAACAGCUGUAAAAUGGGUUGGGCCACAAAUCCAAUGCUUCGUUUAAGUAGGGUUGGGCUAAGAUAUCUUUAGCCCGUUUGAAAGUGAGACUCAAUAGCCUAAACCUCUCUUGGCCCGCUAGUCUCAAAGAUUGGGCCGGGGCCAGCACGUAAGGCAAAUAAUUUUUAUUUUUUUUAAUUAAGAUAUUAAAGGAAAACGGACAAAAAUUAAUGAACUAACUACUACUAUUUGGGAGUAAAUUGAGUAACUUACAUAAAUCCCGGAUAGUUUCACCAAUAUUACAUAAAAUCCCGCAUAAUUUGCUAAUUAUAUCUUAUCCCAAAAUUUUGAAUUGUGAUACAUAUGUUAAGCAGUGAUACAUAUGGACUAGUGAUGCAUAUGUAUAUGUAUCACUAGUAUAUACAUAUGUAUACAAUAGUGAUACAUAUAGCAUCUGUUUCACUAGUAAAUAUGAAUUCAGGAUUUCAUGUAAUUUUUUAAAAUAUUAAGGGAUAUUGUGUAAUAUGGUGUCUUAAAUAUGGGAUUUGUGUAAUUUUUUCUAAAUUAGAAGUAAGGGCUUCCUUUGGUUGAAACCAAGUUAUGAAUUGUUAUUCUGGUGAACCAAACACGCGACUAAAAUAUGCCAAAAGUUAAAAAAAUAAUGAAAAUAUGCCAUUAAAUUGAAUAGUGACAAAAGUAGGUUUGGCGCACAAAAAAAGUGCACCAUCCUUUCUUUUUUUAACUGUUUGACGGAAGUUAAAAUUGAGGGGUGCACUUUUGUUUGUGCACCAUUUAUUUUUUUGUAGUGCACUUUUUUUGUGCACAAUAUGAAAAAAAUAUGUGGUGUAUUUUUUUUUAUGCACCAUUCAUUUUUUAUUAUAUGGUACACUAAUUUUGUGCACUAUAUGAAAAAAAACAUGUGAUGCACAAAAAAGUGCACCAUCCAUUAUGUAAAAAUAUAUAAUGUACUAUUUUUGUGCACCAUUCAUUUAUUUCUAUAUGAUGCACAAUUUUUAUGCACCAUCUAUUUUUUUUUUAAUUAUGUGCACUAUAUGAAGAAUAAUAUAUGGUGCACUAUUUUUGUGCACCAUCCAUUUAUUUUCACAUUAUGCAAAAAAUUAUUGCACUAUAUUUUUUUUUUAUCAUAUAUGAACAUAAUUAGUGCAUUAUAUAUUUUCUUUCAUAUAUUGCAAAAAAUAGUGUACUAUUAAUUAUUUUUGAUAUAGUGGACUUAUUUUGUAUAUUAUCCAUUCUAUUUUAUUUGUUUAUUUAAUAUAUUACAUUAUUUAAAUAAUUUUUUUUAAUAUAUAGUUAUUUAAGUGUACUUUUAUUUUUUCUUUAUUUAUUUUAUAUAACACUAUUUAUUGCACUUUUUUUAUUUAGUACUUAUUAAUUUAUUUCAUAUAGUGCAAUAAUUUUUUUGGUCAUAUAUUGUUCUAAAAUUUGAAUUUGUUUUUUUAAUUUUGUCAUAUGUUGCACUAUUUUAUUGUAAUGUCUAUUAUUUUUCAUGUAGUGCAUCCGAAUAGUUACUAUCUAGCAUUUUGGUGCAUUAUCUACAUUUUUCAUAUAACAUCGUAAAUUUUUAAUUUUGUAUAUACUAAAUUGACAUUUUCUUUUAUUGUAUAUAUUAAAUUUGCACUUUAUUUAUAAAUUUUUUUACACAACGCACUAAAUUUGUGCACUGUUUAAUAUUUUUAUAUAACAGAUAGUGAUCUUAUAUAGGGUUGUGCAAAAAUUGAACCUACCGAUAAGUUGAACCUAUAAAAAUGUUAUUGGUUUAUUAUUAUUGGGUUAAUGAUUUUUUAAUGAUUUUAUAAAAAAAAUUAUUGGGUUAUUGGUUCGAUUCGAUUUUUUCUUAUUGGGUUAUUGGGUAAACCGAUAACCCAAUAAGAACACACACACACACACACACAUAUAUAUAUGACUUAUUAGAUAUUUCUCUUAAUUUCUCUUUAAUCUCUACAAAUUAAGAAACUUAUUUUUUAAAUUACACAAACUCUUAAUUUCUCCUAACAACAUUUAGUUCAAACUUGAAGAUUCUUGUAAAUUAAAACACAUUAUGUAGGUUUUUUGUGUGCACUAAGAUUCGAUUAUUUUUCAUGUUAGUUACUACUAUUUCUAUUUUAUGAGUAUUUUCUUAUCGGUUAAAUCAAAAAUCGAACCGUUAAGGACUAAAAAUUGAUAAACCGAUAAAAAAUAUCUUAUUGGUUUGGUUAUUGGUUUAGCAUAUUUAAAAAUCAAAAAUCGAUAAAUCGAACCGGUAAUAGGUAAAACUGAAUCGAACCGAUUGAUGCACACCCCUAAUCUUAUAGGCUGCAACAGAUAACCUACAACAGAUUAGUGAUCUGUUUUUAUUGUUUCUAACAAAUUACUCAUCCGCUGCAACGAGUUGGUUAUGUGCGGCAACGGAUAACCUACCUGGUGUAACAAAUAAGUGAUCUGUUUUUAUUAUUUUCAAUGGAUUACUCAUUCGCUGCAACAGGUUGGUUAUAUGCUGCAAUAGAUAACCUACCUGGUUCAACAGAUUAGUGAUCUGUUUUUAUUAUUUUCAACGGAUUACACAUCCGCUGCAACAGAUUGGUUAUAUACCGCAACAGAUGUGUGGCCUAUUUAUUGUUUCCAACAAAUUGAUCAUCAGCUGUAACAGGUUGGUCAUAUACUGCAAUAGAUAAUGCACAAAUAUUAUGGACUAUCUGUUAUAUAAAAAUCUUAAAUAGUGCACAAAUUUAGUGCACUGUGUAAAAAAAAUUAUAAACAAAGUGCAAAUUUAAUAUAUACAAUAAAAGAAAAUGUCAAUUUAGUAUAUACAAAAUAAAAAAUUUAUAAUAUUGUAUGAAAAAUGUAGAUAUUGUACCAAAAUACUAGAUAGUGCACUAAAUGAAAAUAAUAGAUACUAAACUAAAACAGUGCAACAUAUGACAAAAUAAAAAAAAUAAAUCAAAUUUUAGAACAAUAUAUGACAAAAAAAAAAAGUGCACUAUAUGAAAUAAAUUAAAUAAUAGAUAUAAACAAAGUGCAAUAAAUAGUGUUAUAUAUAAUAAAUAAAUAAAAAGUACAUUCAAAUCACUAUAUUAAAAAAAGUACAUUUAAAUAAUGCAAUAUAUGAAAUAAAUAAAUAAAAUAGAAUGGAUAAUGCACAAAAUAAGUGCACUAUGUAAAAUAUAAUUAAUAUUGCACUAUUUUUUUGCAAUAUAUGAAAAACAAAAUAGAUAGUGCACUAAUUAUGUUCACAUAUGAAAAAAAAAUAUAUGAUGUAAGAAUUUUCUGCAUAAUAUGAAAAAUAAAUGGAUGGUGAACAAAAAUAGUGCACCAUAUAUAUUUUUUUUUUCAUAUAGUGCACAUAAUUGAAAAAAAUAGAUGGUGCAUAUUUUUUUCAUAUAGAAAUAAAUGAGUGGAGCACAAAAAUAAUACACCAUAUAUUUUUAUCAUAAUGGAUGGUGCACUUUUUUUAGUGCACCAUAUAUAUUUUUUUCAUAUAGUGCACCAUAUAGAAAAAAAAAUGAAUGGUGCACAAAAAAAGUGCACCAUCCAACUUUAACUUCCGUUAGUCAAGCCAAUAAAAAAAGAAAGGAUGGUGCACUUUUCUUGUGCACCAAGCCUACUUUUAUCACUCUUCAAUUUGAUGGCAUGUUUUCGUCACUUUUUUUUAUUUUUGGGCAUAUUUUGGUCGUGUGUUAUAUUCCGAUCUUGAUGCGGGAUAGUAAUAACUACAAUCUCAGAAUAAAUAAUUCGAGGAUAAGUUAUCCCUCAAUUUUAUUUACUGCCAAACAUGAGAUAAACUAAUCAUAGAAUUCAUCCCAUGAUUAGUUAUACUUAUCUCUAAUACUAAACGAGUCCUAAGAGUUUUACUUUUUCAGUCUUAAAUAUAAUACUCUUACAUAUGAUUAAUUUCUUGUGGGUAUGACUUGGAUCAAAAAACAAAUACAAUAGUAAUUUUCAUCAAUACUUUUGAAUUGAUUUGGGUUUUUGUAAUGUGAGUUCUCACAUCUUAACUUCACAUGCAUGGGAUAUCACACUCUCACUUCUCUCAACCUGUCUGCCAUGAAGGUCAUCUUACCUUGCCACAUAUAACAUCGUUCUCAGUCAUAUCUCUUAUAUUAUAUUCAUAUUUGUUUGAGCAUCCUCGUAUCUAUUACGUUCUUCUUCUAAAUGUACACGUUUUGGGAUGAACAACACUUUAUCCCAUACAAAAAAAUUGAUCUAAUCGUCACUAGCUCUGUAGAACUUAUCUUUAAACAUAAUCGACAUGUUCUUGUUGCAUAAUAUCUAAGGGACGAACCUUUAUCUCAUCCACUAGGCUCUAAUGUGAAGUGUGGCUUCAUCGUCGAUCUCUCUGUUCUUGACAUAUUGACUCGAGAUGCUUAAAACUUCCUCAUUGAAAUAUAACUCGUGCAUUAAAAUCCGCUUCCACAUCUGCACCAUUUGUUGUGUUGUUGAACUUGUACUUCAUGUACUUUAUUUUAGUUAUACUUAACUUGGAACAUUUAGUCUUUAAGGUCUUAUAUCCAAAUUCCUAGACUAUUGUUAACUCCUCUACAUGUCUCAUUCAUCCAUAUUAUAUUAUUUGCGAAUAAAAUAUGGGUUAACAACAUAAAUUCCAAUACUUUGCUACCUAAUUACCCUCUCUCUCAAUAUUUAUAUUAAUUACUUAAUAUCCCGGAUAUGAUACAUAAGUUUGGUCCGAAUACAUAAUCUACAGAUACAUAACUACCAAACUAAUUGACUAUAAAAAAGAAAAAUAACAACAAAGAUUAAAUAAUGGAGCAAUUAAUGUGAUUCUAAUUGUGUAAGUAUAUCUCUUUAAUUCUUCCAUCACAAGUCUUUUAUCUUUCCCUUUAUACAGCAAAGUUUCCUCCUUUAAUCAUUCAAUAGUUGUAACAAUAAUUAAAAAAAAAAAUUAAAUUCCUAAAAUAAUUCAGAGAAUUGAAAAAACAGAAGAAAAAAACUGACCAUCCUUUAGGAGAACCAUACAAAAGGGCAGUUCACGUUUAAAAGCUUUGAUUUUUCUGAGUUCUUCUAAAGCAACAAUAAAUUGAUUGAGCUUUGUUAAUUUGUUGGAGAUGUCAUCCAUGGCAGAAACUUCAGUUAAAACAUCUGAAAUUAUUUUUGAACAUAAAUAAAGUUCAAAUAAAGCUGAAUGUAUCGGAUGAAAAAAAUAAUAUAAAUCAACUUCGACAUUUACUAUGUAUCAGAAGUAAUGAUAUAUCUCAUACUUAUGUAUCAUACUCAUAAUGUUUAAUGUAUCAGGUGUAAAACAAACUAAAACUCACAUACAAUUUUCAGAAUGUAUCAUAUAAAUCUAAAAUCUCGACAAAAUUAUCUCUAUGUAUCAUAAUAAGUAUAUUACAUGUAUCAAGAAUAAAAUUGAACCAUAAUCACGUAUAUAUUGUAUUAUGUAUCAUAACGCAUUAGCCUUGAAUCUAUGUAUCAGAUGUGGUAUAUUAAAUGUAUCAGAUGUAGUAUAUUGAAUGUAUCAUAUCUAUAAAGAGACAAAAAUCACAUGUAAAAAUUUAUGAUGUAUCAGAACGCGUGCAUUGUCAUAAAAAAUAAUUUUUUGUAACUUGCUUCUUCCUCUUUACAGAUGCAAUAAUCGAUAACUUCUUUGUCAUAACCAGGUUAUUUUGAUAUUUCAAUCGAUUUUCACUUAAAUUAAUGUCUUUCAUAUCAUAAUGAAAUGGUGGGAAUUAAAAAAGAAAGUUAAUGGUUGAUAUAUUUGCAUCAUCGAAUAUUUGGAUCGAUUAUUGCUAUCUUGCGCGUUGCACUGAUGGACUUAUUGAUGUUAUUCAUGGACUACUGGUAUUUCCAUUUCCAACAAUUACUUCACUCAACAUGAUAAUGAAAUUGUGGAAAUUUAAAAAGAAAGUUAAUGGUAAAAAUAUGAAGUUGUUAGAUUUAAUUUAGUAGAUGAGAACAUGAUGGAAAUUCAAAAGAAAGUUAAUGGAAAUUAUAACUUGAAUAUUGAAGUAGAAGAUGAAGAUGAGAACAUGGUGAAAAUUCAAAAUGAGUGAGUUGAGAAAAUUGUGGGAUGUAUUUUCUGAUUUUUAGGCUUGAUUUGUGGCACAAUAAGGGGUUGUGGGUGGGUUUUUUAAAUGUAUCAAAAAAGAGGCAACUAUUUUGAGCAAAAAUGAAUUUUUGUAAUUAGUUUGGUUGGAUAAAAUUUUAAGUAAUAAUAAAAAUUUAAGGUGUGGUUAUAAGGAAUUUAUCCAUCAAAUAUACCAUGACACCUCCCUUUAAUAUGACAUGCCAAUUUGUCCAUCAUCAAGACAUAGGAACUGAUCAAUGUCUGACACUUAGUGCAAUCCCAUCACGUUCAAUAAGGAGUCAUUUGGUAGAGUGUAUAAGAAUAAUGCAAAAUAUGGUGUAUUAGUAAUGCUUGUAUUAGUAAUGGUUGUAUUAGUUAUGCUUGCUUUAGUUAUGUUUGUAUUUUUUUUAUGUAGUGUUUGGUACGAUAUAUUAAAAAAAAACAUGAAUUAAAUUUUUUUUCUUUACAUAAUACCCUCAAUAUAUUUGUUGGAAAGGAUGCAAAAUUUUUUUGAGGGGUAAUAGGGUCUUUAAGCAUGUUAAUGCAUGCAUUAGAUCCAUUACAUUACUAAUGCCAUGGAUUUUGAGGUAUUAGUAAUACACACCUCAAUACACAAUAGAGUGUAUAAUUAAUGCUUGCAUUAGUUAUACAUAGGGUAAAAAGGUAUACCAAACAAGGUACUACUAAUACACAUUAAAAUAAUGCAAAAUAUGGUUUAUUAAUAAUGCUUGUAUUAGUUAUGCUUGCAUUAAUUAUACUUGUAUUUUUCUUAUGCAGUAUUUGGUUCGAUGUAUUAAAAAAAACAUGAAUUACAUAAUUUCUAAAAAAAAAAAACUUUUACAUAAUAUCCUCAAUAUAUAUGUUGGAAAAGAUGCGGAAAUUUUUUUAAGGAGUAAUAGGGUCUUUAAGUAUGUUAAUGUAUGCAUUAGAUUCAUUGCAUUACUAAUGCCAUGAAUUUUGAGGUGUUAAUACACACCUCAAUACACAAUGGAGUGUAUAACUAAUGCUUGCAUUAGUUAUAGAUAGGGUAAAAAAGUAUACCAAAUAAGGUACUACUAAUACACAUUAAGCUAAUGAAUGCAUUAACAUUUUAAUUGUAUGUUAUGAGUGUUAUGAGUCAUGUUCACUAUCUUACCCCGAGUCUUGUCUUCAUUGUACGUGUACUUAAUUGCUCUAUUGUAAGUAAUGAGCACACCUCUGAACUUCGAAUAUUUCUGAAUGACCUCCCUAAGGAUUUUGUAGUAAGCUCCUUCUAAGUUAAUGAACACCAUAAGUAAGUCUCUCUUAUUGUCCCUAUACUGUUCCAACGAUCUCCUUGUAAAAAUGUGCAUUCAAUAGUUGAUCGUUGUGACAUUAAUCUGAAUUGGUAUUCAAAGAUCGGCACAAGCCUCCUUAUACCUCCUCUCAACUAUUCUUUUCGAAAUGUUCACGGUAAAACUUACUAUUUUGAUACUCCCAUUGUUGUUACAAUUCUUGUGGUUCACGCAAAAAUUGUUUAUGAUAUCAAAUAUCGGUCACAUAACCACUUAUAAUUGGCAAAGGACAUAUGCUAAUGAAUUUUAAGUGAUUUUAUGACUGGUAUUUGAAAAAAUCUCAAUUAAUUGUCAGAAAAUUUAUACAAUGCAACUAACUUUAUUGAAUAAUGUGAAGUAAGCUGAAGGUUUUGUAAUGUAUCAAAAUCAGCACAAUAGGCUUUUUCUUUCAGAAAUUUUCCAAUUCAAACAAAAUGCAGAUUAUUUCAAGAAGGCAAUUUUGAAAAAUAUUUCCAGUUCCUUUAAAUUAUACUCCUAUAAACCGCCGGAGUUGAAAUAGUAAAAAACACAAUUAAGCGGACAAGUUCCUUUUCAGUUUUCCCGCCCACAAAGAAAACUAAAAUUCAAGUGCGCUUCACACGGAUCGCCGAACUUUAAAAAUCGUCGAUCCGCGAAAACCAUAGUCAGCGAAUCACAGAUAACCACGUGGAUUCUAACUAUUUGCAAUAGCCAAUAUUGAUCGUCCAUUCUCCAAUUUCAUCGACGGCUCACAAUCACGGUCCUCCUAAGCUGAAACUAACCAAUCAAAUAACAGAUCCAAAAUCCUAUAUAAAUCUCAUUCUCCAUUCAACUUCCUGGUCACUCUCUCUCAUUCACUUUACCAAAGCAAAAACAAAAAAUUUCUAUUUACCUCUCUUUGUUAGUUCUGAGCAAUGGCACCAAAAGCAACAGGGAAAAAGCCAGCUGAGAAGAAGCCAGUAGAGGAGAAGAAGGCCGAGGGAGGUCCUGCUGAGAAGAAGCCCAAGGCCGGGGAGAAGCUCCCGAAGGAGGCCANNNNNNNNNNNNNNNNNNNNNNNNNNNNNNNNNNNNNNNNNNNACAAGAUCUACAUCUUCAAGGUGCUGAAGCAGGUGCAUCCAGAUAUCGGCAUUUCCAGCAAAUCAAUGGGUAUAAUGAACAGUUUCAUUAAUGAUAUAUUUGAGAAGCUUGCUCAGGAAUCAUCUAGAUUGGCUAGGAUCAACAAGAAGCCUACUAUCACUUCCAGGGAAAUUCAGACUGCUGUGAGACUUGUGUUGCCUGGUGAAUUGGCUAAGCACGCUGUUUCUGAAGGGACCAAGGCUGUUACCAAGUUCACUAGCUCUUAGGCUUUAAUUUGGGGAUCUUUUGGGGGUGUUUUGGGUUUAUGUAAAGGCUGGUAGUUAUUUUUGAUGUCUGGUAUGUAAUCACUUCAAAUGAUUCUGUGUUUGAUCUUGUUUUAGUUUUGUUAUAUUCUUGUGAAGCUAUUUUGGUGUUAUAUGUUUCUUCAGUUGGAAUGUGUAAGCAGAACAUGCGUGUAGUUUAUUGAUUUCAGCAAGAUCACCUCUUCAGUGGUAAUUUCAGAGAAAUGUCAAAAUUUACCAAAAGUGUCUCACCAUAAUGCCUUUAACAUUUCCAAAUAAUAUGCCUUAAUUUUUCUAUUAUUGAUUGUGUAAUUAGAAUUUGAUAUUGUAAAUGUUUAUGUGGACAGUAAUUAAUUUAUGGAGGAUUCAAAUUGGUGAUAUAUACUCGAUAGAGAGCAUACCAACGAUAUUAAGUUGCCCUAUAAUUUUUUUGUAGAUUACAGAUCAUUUAUUUCUACUUUGAAGUGCAAAUCAUGUUUGAAUGAUGGUUCUUUCCUCGUUAUUCAACUAGUCUUCUUUGUUUUCCUCAUUUAUGCUUUCAGAAUGCUUUAACUUAAUGACAAGUGUUUGAGUAUGUUGAAUGUUGAUUGUGUAUCAAUCUUUAAAUUUUUUUUUUAACCUUAAUCAGCCAACUACUUUGAAAAGUGAUUGAAGUUUGCAAAUAAUGACUUACUCCCUUCACCACAUGUGAAUAUAGCAGACCAAAAUGAGGCACUUGGGCCUGGGCCUGGGAAUGUUUAUCUGGGAUCAAUUGAUUAAACAAUCCAACACAAUGUUAUUGUUGGGCCUGUGUUGAGAUACAAGUGUCAAAUAGUUAAUUGUACAAGUGAAAAUAUUGUUGUUUGUUUGAGGAUUAAGGCAGGGUAAUUGUGAUUAUAAUUAAAUAAACAAUACACCACUCAUUCCCAAAACUCUCCCUGUAUCCUCUUACUGUUGUAAUGGCUUAUAUCAAUUUGGGUGUUUAUCGUUAUCAUUGAUAUUACUGUUCGGGAUAAUUAUUGUUAAAUCUUGUCGUAGUAGUCACUACACCACAUCUCAAGGCAACAUGUUAUAUUUGUUGUUACAAACUUUUAACUUAUAGAUUCUAAGUCGUAUUUAGUGGAAAGUUCAGUUGAAAAAAUGCACUUGGGUGAUUAUCUAUUUGUAGCCUAUCGAAUUGAGCUUAUUCGUAGUAAGUGAGUCCAUGAAGUAAGUUACGAGGAGUUUAGGAGCAGAGAAUUUGAAGUCUAUGAGGAGUGGUGUGGAGGCAACUGAACGAAGAAGAGAAAAAGUUCAGUGUAAUGAAAGCGACAAUCGUGUGAGAGCAAUUCAUUGUUGCAGCACUAUAUAAUAAAAGCUCUAGUGCGUUUCAGAAUCAUUUGACUGUGGAAGUAGUCCUGAAAACUGGAGGAUUUGUUUAAUCUGGGAAGUAGUUAACUAUCCUUUAAAAAAAAAAAUAUUACUUUUUAAGGCCAUUUCUUUAUGCAAGCAUUACAUGUAGUGUGUGUAAAGUAAAUUUCACUGAUGAAUGAUGCACUCGAGUAGGAUCUCUUUAUGAAAUUCCAGUAGUUGUUUGUGAAUUGUGAUAUAUCCUUGAGAGUUGAAUCAAAUGUAGGUCUAAUCGCAAGUGGACAUCAAUCCAAAGAAAGGCACAAUUUGGAGUCUUAUGUUUAAUCCAAAGAGCAUAUAUUUGUCAAUUUGGUUUGAUGGAAUUGAGUUAUGAAUCACUUUUUGUGUUCUCUGACUUUCAAUCACACAUGUUCUCUUUGUAAUCAAUAAAAACGCUGUAAAAUGAUAUUAACAUAUAGGUGCGUCGCGUAACUAAAUUUGAAGAUGAAAAUGCAUGUUCGAAUAAAUAAUAGUGAGCUGUCCGAUUGAUGUAUAUCGUCAAAUCGAAACAAAAUCUUUUCCUUAUAGAAUUAGCUAAGCAUGCUGUUUCUGAAGAAUUAAGGCUGUUACUAAGUUCACCAGCUCUUUUGGGUUGUAAAGAAUGAUAGUUUUGGAUGUUUGAUACUGAUAGGCCUUGGUAACAUUACUGCAAAUGAAUCAAAGAUUUUCCCAGCUGAAUUUCUGCGCUGGAUCUCUUUCAGUUUUUAUUAUUUUCUUGCGAAACAAUUGGUGUUCUAUGUUUCUUCAUUUUGAAUUUGUAAACACAGCACAAGUUUAAAGUAUUACCUCCGCUUCAUUUUUUACCUGGCCCCUUACAGCCACCACUUCUCAGCGCAAGCUUUAGCAAUUAGAAUAAUUUAAUUUGGUUUUUGACAUCUGUUUUCUAGUUCUAUGUGUGUAAUAAAAUUAUUGCACGAAGCAGUAUUGCGUGAUUACAUACUUUACCUAAGGUGCGUGCUGAAAUUCAACAGAGGGGCGGGGAUGAAUUGGAAAUUUUCUGUGAGUCGAUUAUUGGCUUUUCACAGUCGACUUUCCUACAGAAUAAUACACUUCACAAAAUAGACUAGGUCCGAAAUAAUCAAGAUUCAAGGUAAUAAAUAAUCGAAUUUAAAGUAAAGUCACAAAUUUUAUCCUGGUUCGUAACAUCAAUGUAGUGCCUACUUCCAUUCACCUUGGGUUUCAGUAUUUCCUUAAUCGUUCAAUGUCGGGCUCGAGUACAAUUAUGGGAAACAAGUUUUGAAGACUUAUUUUGUUCUUCAGAUCUUGUGACACUGCUUCAGUUACGAAGUUGACUAGAUCCUACUCUUUAUACAACAAUUGUAAACUAAGAAUUACAGAGCUUCGUGAGACUAAGAUUAAGCCACUUUGUAACUCUUCUUUGAAGUUGCGUAACGUUGUGCAUCCUUAGUCUUCUUCUUUAAUAGUUUUCAACUGCUACUCUUUGUAAGGAAACCCAAGAGAUUUAUUCUCAAUCAAAGAUUUGAAUUGAUUCCUUGAUUGAGGAAAGUAGCCGUAUGAUAUGUCCAUAUCAGAUAUAUCCAUAUACGGCUUUUAUUCUCGUCCAUAUUAUAUAUGUCUGUCAUCUUUUCUUCUUUUUGGUCUUGUAGUGAUUGAUACUUUUGCAAGUUUGUUUGUGAUCUUUUCUUUCUUUUACUUCGUUGUGAUUGAUCUGAUCUGCCACGAUUCGGGAUCGGGAUCCUCUUUCCGUUUGUUUUUGUUUUGAUUGAUUCGCUUGGAUGCCGCGGAUCAUAAUUUGACCUCCUUCCAUUACUGGAGCCGGCUUCCUUACUUGCUUUCUUCAUCUUUCCAUCAUUAGAAGUUUUUCAAUAUCCUGCAAAGAUCUAUUCAUUAGUUUAUUAUUAUUAAAACGUAAACUUAGGAGGCUAACACAUGCCUCUUGGUGGUCCCUCGUCAUAUUUAAAUCAUGGGACCUUCUCUGAUUAGGUUGAUUAUGUUACAACUCAAUUAACAAUAUCAAAUUUUAUUUUUUUUGGUUUCCAUCCGGUAUACGGUAUCCAUAUUGGAGCUCGAUUAAUUCAAAUUCGCGCCAAGUAGAACCCCAUUCGGGAGAUAGCGCUCCCUUUUCAUGCCCAGAGCUCGAAAAGAAAAAGAUAUUCUCCAAAUAAUCUUAUGCAUUGUCUGAGAAUAUAGUCAUUUCCAGGGGGUAUAAAUUAAUAAAAUUCCUGCCAAUAUCUUUAUAGUGGUUUUAAGUGCUAUAUGAAUGAGAAAUGAAUUUCUGUCUUCGAAAAAGAUAAUAGAAGAAAAGAUAUCAUUUGAACAACUUCUUUUAUCUUGAAUGAGUUGCAAUAAAAGACUAGUGUCACGGGCCUAUUUGGCUCCAAAGCCCCAUAAAUGUUGAUCCGAACUUGUAAUUUGACCUUCCAAAGAUACCCUCACGUUGGCCUUGUCAAGAGACGUUGUGGAAAUCCCGUCGGGCUCCGAAAUGCACCCAAAACGUUCGGAAUUGUGUCCAAAACUGGAUGAAUUUAAUGGGUAGUGACGCGGGGCGUCACACUAGCCUCAUAUUUAAUAAUAGAUUUUCUGUAUAUUUGUUUUUCAGUCACAUACUUUGUGUGUUUCAUUCCGUCUUCAAGUUUGACAAAAUUGUUGGUUGUUUGAGGUAUCACUACGGUGUCGUUUGAUUGGGAAUAUAGUUAUAUUGGGAUUAGUUAUGUUGGGAUAAGUUAUGAUGGGAUAAGUUAUACUGGAAUUAGUUAUGCUGAGAUUAUUUUUUAUUAAGUGUUUGGUUUGUUGUUUUCAAAUUAAUAUGCAUGGUAUAAUUUCAAAGAAUAAAGUAUUUGAUUACCAAAAUACCCCUAUCUUAUUUAACUUCUUUUUUGUUUAUAUAUAUUUGUUUUCAAGCUUUAAAUAUUUAUUCUUAAAAAUAAAACUUCCAUCUUAUUUAGCUUAUUUUUUUUGUGUGUGCAUUUUCAUGUUUAUAUCGUGUGUAUUUUAAAAAUAAAUCUUUCAUCUUAUUUAACUUUAAUUUUUUUGCAUGUGCCUUCCCAUGAUUAUACUGUGUGCGUUUUAAAAAAAAUCUUACUACAACUUAUUUAGUUUGAAUUAAAAACUUCCAGCUUAAGUUUGUUAAAGUAAAAGAAGAUUUGUUGUUUAUGUCACUUCAUUUGAACACAUAUUACUCAUAUAAUAUAAAAUAUUAAAAUUCAUUUUAAUUGAUAUAUACAAUAUCAAUUUUCAAGUUAUUAAAAAACUAUUUAAUUUAAAAUAUGUAAUUGAACAAUAGAGUCGAUUGUGAAAUGAUAAUGUGUAUUAAAAUUAGACAAUGCCUUUGUACUUGUUAAAAUAUUUUAUAGAUUACUAGUGAAUAGUAAUUAUUAUUAUAAAAUCUACUUACUUUAAUUAAUCUUUUCAUUGUGUAGUAAGAACUUUUUGUGUUAUCAAUUCACAAAAAUAAUACUUGAAAGGAAAAAGUUGAUGUUGAAUUUCAUUUUUCUAUGCUUAAAAAAUUAUAGUACCUACAUUUUUUUGGAUGUAUAAAAAAUUAUAGUACCUUGUUUUGAUCCUUAUUAAUGUAUGAAUCUAACAUAUUUUAUUUUUUAAUUUGUUAAUUUUAUAUUUUGAUCCUUUAUAUAAGAAAAUAGCGUAUAAGUUUAUAAUGGGAUGAAAAAAAUGUAAAAUUUAAUUAAUAAUAGGUUAAUUUUUCUUAGUCAUAUAUUUCCUUCGUUUCAAAAUAAGAUAUUUUAGUCUUUUUAAUUUGUCAUAAAUAACACGUUUUAGAUAAUCAAGUAGAUAUCAAUAAUCUUUUUUCAAUUUCAAAAGCAAUAACUAGAGAUGAUGAAAAAGACUGGAAAAAUGUGUUUGUAAUGAAUUUGGGGGUAUUUUUGUCAUUUAUUUAUCCCGGAAUAAAUUAAGGUGGGAUAACUUAUACCACCAAAUAUGUGGUAUAACUUAUCCCGGGACUAUUAUUAAUCCCGGGAUAAGUUAUCCCAAGUAUUGCCAAACCAAACGAUGUAUUAAAAAGUUUAUCCCGAAAUUAUUAUUUUAUUUCGAGAUAACUUAUCUUAGUACCUCACACCAAACGGCCCCUACCGGUCUACUUCAACAUGUAUACUCUUUCUUAUCUUGGAGGUAGGGGUGUGCAUCGGUCGGUUCGGUUCGGUUUUACGUGUUAUUGGUUCGAUUUAUCGAUUUUUGAUUUUUAAAUAUGUAAAACCAAUGACCAACCAAUAAGAUAUUUUCUUAUCGGUUUCGGUUUAUCGGUUUUUGGUCCUUAACGGUUCGAUUUUCGGUUUAACCAAUAAGAAAAUAUUUAUAAAAUAGAAAUAGUAACAACUAACAUAAAAAAAAUGAAAUCUUAAUUACCGCAAAAACCUACGCAAUGCAUUUUAGUUUACAGGAAUCUUCAAACUUGAACUGAAUGUUAGUUAGGAAAAAAAUUGAAGCCUAACUGUUGGAAGCUAUAAAUGUUUCAAGUUUUUAUUACGAUAAUAGCCGAACUUUAUAUUAUGCAUUUGUUGCCCAAAAUAGGUUAAUAUUUUGUGAAUCACUGAAUUAUGAAUUUGUAGUACAUAUAAUCUAUAUACAUACACAUAUUUAUCUCUCUCUAUAUAUAGAGAGAUAGAUUUAAAUAUAUAAAUAAAUAGGGAUAAAACAAUAACUUAGUGUAUUCUUAUUGGUUUAUCGGUUUAACCGAUAACCCAAUAAGCUAAAACCGAUACCGAACGGUUUACCCAAUAAUUUUUUUUAUAAAACCAAUAAAAAUUUGUUAAUCCGAUAACCUAAUACCAAUAACCCAAUAAUAUUUUUAUCUGUUUGGUGUAUCGGUCGGUUCGGUUUUUCUACAGCCCUACUUGCAGGAAAUAAUCAACAUAUUAGGUAAAGUUAGAUAAUUAAAUUUUUUAAGGAUACAUAUUCUAUAGACUCGAAUGUUUUUAUAGAAUAUUUUUCUUUGUGUUUCUAAUUUAUUUGAUUCUCCUACUUAUAAUUUUGAACACAUGAUACGGAAGAUUUUUUUUUUUUUUUUUUUUGAAGAAUUAAAGAUUCAAAUGUAAUAUAUCAAGCCAUCUUAAUGAUUUUUGAAUUAAAUAAUAAUAAUAAUAAUAAUAAUAAUCAAUUACAUAAUUCAAAGCUAAGUUAUUUGAACAUUAAAAUUUUACUUGGCAUUAUCAAAAUAAAAAUACAAAUCAAAGUAGAAGGUAAAGAUAAGAAAUUUGAUUUACUAAAAAGGCAAACACCUAAAUUACAUAGCCAAGAACGCACAAUCGAUUAAUAUUACUCCAUCGAAUCAGCGAUCCGCGAAAACCAAAAGUAUCGAAUCACAGAUGACCACGUGGAUAGAAACUAUAUGCAAUAGCCAAUAUUAACCGUCCAUUCUCUACUUCAUCAACGGUUCAUAUUCACGAGCCGCGUUAGCCGAAAUUAACCAAUCAAACAACAGAAUCAAAACUCUAUAUAAUCCUCCCUUCCCCCAAUUCCAUUUCUCAUCACUCACGCAUUCUCUUCAUUUAAAUUCCAAUUCAUCUUUCUGUAAAGUCUCUCAACAAUGGCACCAAAGGCAGCAGGGAAAAAGCCAGCUGAGAAGAAGCCAGUAGAGGAGAAGAAGGCCGGGGGAGUGCCUGCUGAGAAGAAGCCCAAGGCCGGGAAGAAGCUCCCGAAGGAUGCCAGCGGCGCUGACAAGAAGAAGAAGAAGGCAAAGAAGAGCAUUGAAACCUACAAGAUCUACAUCUUCAAGGUGCUGAAGCAGGUGCAUCCAGAUAUCGGUAUCUCCAGCAAAUCAAUGGGUAUAAUGAACAGUUUCAUUAAUGAUAUAUUUGAGAAGCUUGCUCAGGAAGCUUCUAGAUUGGCUAGGAUCAACAAGAAGCCUACUAUCACUUCUAGGGAAAUUCAGACUGCUGUUAGGCUUGUGUUGCCUGGUGAAUUGGCUAAGCACGCUGUUUCUGAAGGGACCAAGGCUGUUACGAAGUUCACUAGCUCUUAGGCUUUAAAUUGGGGAUCUUUGGGGUUUUGGGUCUAUGUAAAGGUUCCUAGUUUUGGAAGUUUGAUAUGUAAUUGUCUUACUAUGAUUACUGCAAAUGAAUCAAGGCUUAUUAUCUAGUGAAAUUCUGUGUUACUUAUUAUUUUGUUUAUCGUAUUGUGGCGAUAAUAUUGGCGUUCUAUGUUUUGUCAACCGAAAUUCUUAAACAGAGCAUGAUUUGGUGUAUUGUCACUGUGAAUUGCAACGAAUAAUUGUGAUUUACCAUAAGCAUGACACCGUUCUGAUUAAGUUAUAAUCAUACUUUUGAGUUAUACCAACGAUUUCAAACUGUUCUAUAAAUUUUUUGAGUCUUGGUGUGGAGUUUAAAUACAUUUAACUGUUAUUUCUGUGGAAGAAAAUAUCCAAUAUUAUUGCCUUGUCAAAAUGCAAAUCAUUUCAAAAUGAUAUAAUUGUUUUCUGUUCUUUAAAUUAUUCUUGUUUUUUUUUUUUUUUUUUUGGGUUCUUUUCUAUCUUCUCUGUUUGCCUAAAUUUUGUUAUCUAAUAUUUGAUAACAAAAUUGAAGAGGACAUUUCAAUUUUGAAGAGGAAGUGGUUAAUUAUUGAAGAGGAUGCGUUUAAUCUGGUAAGUAGUUAAUUAUCCUUUUCAAUUCUCUUAUUAGGACAUUUCUUUAAGCAAGGAUUAUUCAUGUAUUAUUUGUUUGGUUUGGUGGAAUUGUGUUAAGUUAGAUGAAAUUAUUUUUAAGCUUUUAAUGUUUACUAAAAUGGAUUUGUAUUCUUAAUUUAUGAACUUACUUUUUAUAAUCACUUGCUUACUAUACACUUAUUCUCGUGCUAAUCAAUAAAACUUUUUAAAAUGAUAAGAAUGAUAUCAUCACAUAGGUGCAAUGGAUUAAGAAUUUUAAGUGGAUAAUGCAAGUUUAAAUUGAAAAUAAUGAGCAUAUCCGAUUUAUAUUUAAUGGCAAAUCUUUUUUUUUUGGCUUAAAAGUAUUUAAUAUCAAAUCGAAUGAAAUUUAUGUAAAAUCAUUUUUGAAUGAAUUUAAAGAAUAUCUUAAUUUUCUGGUUCAUAAAGGUUGAAGUCGCAUCUAAUUUUUUGAUAUAGCAAACAUAUGUGAAUUCAUCUACUUUUUCAAGAGAAAUGCAUCAUCAAAAUCAAUAAAAAGAUCAAUAUGGACCAUGAUUCAAAUGGGAUUGCGCUUGUCAAGCUAAGCAAGCGCUAAGCUUUUGCUAGUGGCCGGAAUGACAAUGUGAAGACUCUUUAAUGCCCAAGUUUUGAUGUAGACAACAUUCAAUUUUGUACAAGUCUAAUUAUGAUAACUUUCAUGUCUUUCACAACAAAGGAAAGAGAGUCGGCUAACAUAAUUUUUGCAUAUAUCUAAUUAUGAUAAUGCACAUGUCCUUCACAACAAAGAAAAGAGUGGCGGCUAUUAUGCCUUUAUUUAACAUGGAAUGAAUUCAUCAAGUCAGAAAUUUAUACUUAGCUAAGGAGAACAUGAAGCAUCUAUUGAAGGACGAGCAAAGAAAAUUUUCACCACCUAUUGCAUAAUACUGAAACAAUCAUAUCUAGUUGUUUGAGUCUAAUGAAUGAAGUUUAGAAUUUGAAUUUGGAGUUGUAAUUUUAAACCUUAUUUGAGCUAGUUAAUUUGAGUUUUGAUUGUUACUCUUUAGGAUGGGUCUUUCAUAUAAAUAAAUUAUUCAAUUUCUUUAUAAUUUAGGUGAAAUCUGGUUGGAACAAGUUUUUCCACAAAGCCAUGUUGUUCACUUGAAAUUCUAAACCAAGAAGACUCAAAUAAAUCAUAUCUUCUUCAUUUUCGUUUGUUUUCUCCCUCCUUUCGCUGGAGUUGUCGGUGACUUAAAAAAGUUAAAUUGGAUGGAGAAAAAAUAUUUUCUUAGUAGUAUUUUUUAUGUUUAUUUUUAUUGAUUCAUAACAGAUGUUGUACACCCUUAAUAAAUACUCCUCCCAUAUUAUUUUACUUUAUCUCAAAUUUUUUAAUUUGAUUUCUCGUUUUACUUGUCAUUUUUUAUAAAUUAAUAAGAGACAAAUUUUUCCCCAUAUUUUAUCCUUUAUAUUAAUUACUUUUUCUUCAAAUUAUAAUGUAAACAUCAUAGUAUAGUAGCCAUAUUAUUAAUUAUUUUUUUAAUUAAUGUACCAAAUUAAUUUGGGACAAGUAAAAUGUGAGGAAAGAAUAAUAAAUAAAAAGCAUAUUUUAUCAUGAAACGCCCAUCAGUGAUUUAUAAUUUGAUGAACUUGAAAAAGAUACUCUUAUGAUAUAAUUAAUGAAGGAUAAAUUAGAAAAGAAAUAAUUUUCUCGAGUCAACAAAUAAAAUUUAGAAUAUACUUCUCUGUUUAUCUUUACUUGUUCAUUUUUUUAUUUUGGGUUGUCUAACAAUAUUUGUUUAACAUAAAAAUAAUAAUAUAUUAUUAUUUUUAACUAUUUAUUUUUAGUACUAAAUACGAUUUAUUUUUAAUUUUUUUAUGAUUCAAUUUUACUUCUAUCAUCUCCUACUUUUUAAUUUUGAUGUCAAUAAAAUAAAUAAAUAAAAAUAAAUGGAGGAAAUAUUUUGGGAAAGGAAAAGGUGAGGGAGGAAGUAUUUUUUCACUUCGUAAACAAUUAAUACAGCCAUUACUGAUCGUCCAUUCCCCCCUUCAUCAACGGUUAACAUUCAUGAUCCACGCUAACCUAAUGUAACCAAUCAAACAACAGAAUCGAAACCCUAUAUAAUUAUCACUUCACCGAUUCCAUGCCUCAUCACUCACGCAUUUUCCUCAUCACAAUUUCCAUUAAUCACUCUGUGAAAUCUCUCAACAAUGGCACCAAAGGCAACUGGGAAAAAGCCAGUACAAGAGAAGAAGGCUGAGGGAGUUCCUAAGAAGCCCAAAGCCGGGAAGAAGCUCCCAAAGGAUGCUGGCAGCGCUGACAAGAAGAAGAAGAAGGCAAAGAAGAGCAUUGAAACCUAUAAGAUCUACAUCUUCAAGGUGCUCAAACAGGUGCAUCCAGAUAUUGGCAUUUCCAGCAAAUCAAUGGGUAUAAUGAACAGUUUCAUUAAUGAUAUAUUUGAGAAGCUUGCUCAGGAAUCAUCUAGAUUAGCUAGGAUCAACAAGAAGCCUACUAUCACUUCUAGGGAAAUUCAGACUGCUGUGAGGCUUGUGUUGCCUGGUGAAUUGGCUAAGCACGCUGUUUCUGAAGGGACCAAAGUUGUCACUAAGUUUACUAGCUCUUAGGCUUUUAGUUUGGGGGAUCUUUUGGGUUUUUGGUCUAUGUAAAAGCUGGAAGGCUUUGGUGUUUAAUAUG
rnacentral:lncRNA from 1 species